UGUACCUGUGCAUUUUCCCAUUAUGUUCUUAUGAUACUUUCUUCCUAGUAGGAGGUGUGCUGCUGUAUGUGGUCAUCACUGUUGUUAUCAUUGUCGUCCUCUCUGGGCUGGUGCUGACCAUCGUCUGUAUUCAGAGGAAGUGUAAACCUGAUGGUUUGAACACCGGAGGAAACUCAGACAGCAUAAACAUGGAGGUUGUCCCAGACUAUGUGAACUUUUCUCCAGAUUCCACCUUCAACGACUCCACGCACCAGAGCCUCAUCCAGCCAGCAGGGAUCAGGACCAGACCUACUCAUCUGCAUCUAUAAAUACAACCUAGAUGAGCUGGAAUCUGGAACUGUGCCUCAGGGUCCAGGUUGUACUCAGUGUUCCUGUAUCUUCAGUGCAGUUCUUACUCCCAUGUGUCUGUUGUUAAACUGGAGAAUGUGUUUCUCAUUUUGCUGGAGUGUUACUUCUUCACACUGUGUUUUAUUUGCAUGUGUUUUCUUGGCUUGCAUUUAGUUGACCUCUCUGGGCCACCGUACAUUUGUAGUCAAUGGAGUUUCUUUUUACAUGGUCCAUUGUGACAUGUUAUAUAUAAUAUGAUCUUCUAUAAUAGGAGUUAUUUUUAUUAUUUAUAUAUCAUCUUAAGCAAAGUUAAGGUUAGUUUGGGUCCGGGCCGACAGCAGAUAUAUCAACCAUCAUGUUCCACAUUUCUGUGUAACAGCACUUCAUCAGUCAGCUCUGUAACAGCUCCAGCUGGCAGUCAGUGGCUGUAGAUGUUUGGUGAAAUGAUAAUCUCUGUCUAACAACUAGUCUGUGUGCUGCAACUUAUUUUCAUUCAUUCAUGUAUACAUCUGCACAUUUACCUUAUAAUAAGGUUAACUUUGACUUUACAGAAAACAGAUCUGCAGUAAAGUUACUGUGGAUAGUCAUGAAUGUUGUAAUGUUGUAAUAUAAUUAAGUAUGUACCAAGUCAUGUCAUUUAAAGGAUAUUUUUGUAAUAAUGUAAUGCUAA